rnacentral:rRNA from 2 species
GUCUUUUUGAUUAUAAUUUAAAGUCUGACCUGCCCAAUGAGUAGUUAAAUGGCCGCGGUAAUUUGACCGUGCAAAGGUAGCAUAAUCAUUAGUUUUUUAAUUGAAAGCUGGAAUGAAUGGUUGGACGAGAAAAUAACUGUCUCAAUUUAAUUGUAUAUAGAAUUUUAUUUAUAAGUAAAAAAGCUUAUAUGAUUUUAAAAGACGAGAAGACCCUAUAGAGUUUUACAUUUUAUUUUAUUAAUUAAGUUUAGAAUAUCUAUAUUUUUAAUAUAAUAAAGUGUUUUGCUGGGGCAGCAGAAAAAUUGAGUAAACUUUUUUUAUUAUAACAACAUUGAUUAAUGAUUAAAUGAUCCAUUUUUUAUGAUUAUAAGAUUAAAUUACCUUAGGGAUAACAGCGUAAUUUUUUUUUAGAGUUCUUAUCGAAAAAAGAGUUUGCGACCUCGAUGUUGGAUUAAAAUUAACUUUUGGUGUAGAAGCUAAAAGGUUAGGUCUGUUCGACCUUUAAAAUUUUACAUGAUCUGAGU